AGGAGCUGUGUGAAAGAAGACAGACACCCAGCUGUGCAGGCGAGCAAGCAGGCCGAAGAGACAAACAGAAACAAGCAGGACAACAACAACGAAGAAGAUGAUGAUGAAGAACCCCGUCAUUCUGAUGGCCUGCAUCGUUCUUUUGUCGUCUCUCGUUACGUCUGACAACACCUUCGGUCCAGACAAAUGCUGCUUUCAGUUCCUGAAAACGUCUGCCGGCCAAAAAAGUGGCGAGCAUUGAAUACACAGACAAGCGGUGUGCAAUGGAAGGCGUGCUCUUAAAGACGGUGGUUGGUAGACAAGUCUGUGCUGAUCCAACCACGCAGUGGGUAAAGAAGAUCAUUGAAUCCAUCCAACUGAAGAAUGCCACCACCCCUGGGCACGAAGGAUCAGAAUAACCGAGUGUGCAAUGAACAUUUUAAUAACAGUAUAACCAAGCAGAUCUCUUGGUGUAUGAAUCUAUUUUCAAACCAUCAAAUCUUCAGAUUGAUUUUCUUUUCUUUGUCUGUGUAUAAGCUAUUGUAGAGCAAAACAUAUACUGAAAAUGCAAAAUAAAAAAAUAAAAAAAUAAAAUGAAAGUUA